CUCUUCCUAACUACUUCUCAAACCAAAGAAAUUUGGUAAAAGGCAUUAGAUGACCUUGCCAAAGGGGGUGAUUGUCAUCAUCCAGGGAGAUAUAUUGGAUUGCUUUGUCCCUUGCACUAAUAAUUCUCUUCUAGACCCAAGAGUGAUAAAAGUAGCUUUACAGUUCAUAAUAGAGUAUCUCUUGAGUAUGUUACUCUCCACCCA
rnacentral:lncRNA from 1 species